rnacentral:pre_miRNA from 1 species
CUCCGUCCCAAAAUAAGCACAGUCAUGAGUUUCCACGCCCAACUUUGGUCGUCCGUUUUAUUUAAAUUUUUUUUAUAAUUAGCAUUUUUAUUGCUAUGAGAUGAUAAAACAUGAAUAGUACUUUACUCGUGACUUAUGUUUUUAAUUUUUUUUAAAAAAAAAUCAAAUAAGACGAACAGUCAAAGUUCGGCGCGGAAAACCAUGGCUGCACUUAUUUUGGGACGGAGGGA